rnacentral:rRNA from 1 species
UACGUAGGGUGCAAGCGUUGUCCGGAAUUAUUCGGCGUAAAGAGCUCGUAGGCGGUUUGUCGCGUCGAAUGUGAAAACCCGGGGCUCAACCCCGGGCCUGCAUUCGAUACGGGCAGACUAGAGUUCGGUAGGGGAGUCUGGAAUUCCUGGUGUAGCGGUGAAAUGCGCAGAUAUCAGGAGGAACACCGGUGGCGAAGGCGGGUCUCUGGGCCGAUACUGACGCUGAGGAGCGAAAGCGUGGGGAGCGAACAGG